AUUUCACUUCCCUCUCCGAAACGUGACUCUCCCCCCACCAAGUCUCCCCGUCUCCAGUCCCUUCGCUUCUCGGCAGGGGGCUCGGGGUGGAGGGGCGAAAGGGUUUGGGAUAAGGGUCUACGUUACAGCAUUUCCAAUGACUCAUUCCUUUGGUCUCUUCCCAGAUGCCGAGCGACUCCGCCUCCCACCUUCCGACAGGCUCGCUCCCGGCCCCCCGGGACGCGGCCGCCGUCGGCGAGUCUGGCCGUCCUCGCGUCGUGCCUGGGCACCAUCUGACAGUUUCCGAGGCCACGCGGGGGGCGGCAGGACAGGACAAGCCACAGCCCCGCCAAUUCCCAGAGGCUGCUGCAGCUCAGCGUCCGGCUCUAUCACUUACUGCAAUUCUCCUCCAAUUCUUGAAAGAUGAAAGAAAGAGAAGUCCCUAAGUAGAAACUACAAGGGCCAAGCAGAACAUUAUACCAUGUAAGGACAUCAUCUGUCCCUGGACUCUUAAGCGGAAGAUCAUGCAAAUAGUGGACUGAAGUCAUCCCAGCCUUCAAAAGAGCCACCGUGGGGGGGAAAUAACAGAAAGGGAUAAAAAGCUGUCUUUCGUAACCCAA
rnacentral:lncRNA from 1 species